AUUAGAUACCCUGGUAGUCCACGCUGUAAACGAUGUCGACUUGGAGGUUGUUCCCUUGAGGAGUGGCUUCCGGAGCUAACGCGUUAAGUCGACCGCCUGGGGAGUACGGCCGCAAGGUUAAAACUCAAAUGAAUUGACGGGGGCCCGCACAAGCGGUGGAGCAUGUGGUUUAAUUCGAUGCAACGCGAAGAACCUUACCUACUCUUGACAUCCAGAGAACUUAGCAGAGAUGCUUUGGUGCCUUCGGGAACUCUGAGACAGGUGCUGCAUGGCUGUCGUCAGCUCGUGUUGUGAAAUGUUGGGUUAAGUCCCGCAACGAGCGCAACCCUUAUCCUUUGUUGCCAGCGGUCCGGCCGGGAACUCAAAGGAGACUGCCAGUGAUAAACUGGAGGAAGGUGGGGAUGACGUCAAGUCAUCAUGGCCCUUACGAGUAGGGCUACACACGUGCUACAAUGGCAUAUACAAAGAGAAGCGACCUCGCGAGAGCAAGCGGACCUCAUAAAGUAUGUCGUAGUCCGGAUUGGAGUCUGCAA
rnacentral:rRNA from 1 species